rnacentral:rRNA from 1 species
UACGAAGGGUGCAAGCGUUACUCGGAAUUACUGGGCGUAAAGCGUGCGUAGGUGGUUUGUUAAGUCUGAUGUGAAAGCCCCGGGCUCAACCUGGGAAUUGCAUUGGAUACUGGCGGGCUAGAGUGCGGUAGAGGGUAGUGGAAUUCCGCGUGUAGCAGUGAAAUGCGUAGAGAUGCGGAGGAACACCGAUGGCGAAGGCAGCCCCCUGGGCUGACACUGACGCUGAGGCACGAAAGCGUGGGGAGCAAACAGG